UAGGGAAUCUUCCACAAUGGACGCAAGUCUGAUGGAGCAACGCCGCGUGAGUGAAGAAGGUUUUCGGAUCGUAAAGCUCUGUUGUUGGUGAAGAAGGAUAGAGGCAGUAACUGGUCUUUAUUUGACGGUAAUCAACCAGAAAGUCACGGCUAACUACGUGCCAGCAGCCGCGGUAAUACGGAGGUGGCAAGUGUUUUCCGGCAUUAUGGGGCGUAAAGCGAGCGCAGGCGUAAUGAUAAGUCUGAUGUGACAGCCCACGGCUCAACCGGGGAACUUCAUCGGAAAUUGUCAUUAUUGAGUGUAGAAGAGGAGCGUGGAAUUCCAUGUGUAGCGGUGGAAUGCGUAGAUAUAUGGAAGAACACCAGUUGCGAAGGCGGCUCUCUGGUCUGCAACUGACGCUGACGCUCGAAAGCAUGGGUAGCGAACAGG
rnacentral:rRNA from 1 species